ACCUAGCUAGCUUACGUUUAGAGCGUUGGACUCCGGAUCCAAAGGUCGGAGGUUCGAAUCCUCUCUAGGCG
rnacentral:tRNA from 1 species